GAUGAACGCUGGCGGCGUGCCUAAUACAUGCAAGUCGAGCGAAGCGGGGACGGGUGAGUAACACGUGGAUAACUUCCUAUAAGACUGGGAUAACUUCGGGAAACCGGAGAUACACCGGUUACUUGUUGAUGGAUCCGGGCUGCAUUAGCGAGUGGGUACGGUAACGGCCUACCAAGGCAACGAUGCGUAGCCGACCUGAGAGGGUGAUCGGCCACACUGGAACUGAGACACGGUCCAGACUCCUACGUGAGGCAGCAGUAGGGAAUAUUCCGCAAUGGGCGAAAGCCUGACCGAGCAAGGCCGCGUGAGUGAAGAAGGUCUUCGGAUCGUAAAACUCUGUUAUUAGGGAAGCGUUACCUAAUCAGAAAGCCACGGCUAACUUCGUGCCAGCAGCCGCGGUAAUAC
rnacentral:rRNA from 1 species